ensembl:lncRNA
GCAGGCCCACUGGGAAGUAGCAGAUGGAUAGGAAAAUGACAUGCUUUCCAAAAGUAUUUAAAUAUCAACUCUCUUUUGUUACAGCUGUGUAAGAGCCAUAUAAAAUCAAGUAACAUGUAGGAGAGAAAAGGGGUCAUGAAGGAGGAGUUUGAGCAAAAAGUAAUGCUAAAAAAGAAAAAAAAAUCCAUUGCAAAUGGACACAAUUGCAACAGAAUUUUCCUUGAAUCAACGGAGGACUAUUACUUGAUGAGAUCAUUGUUUUCAGACAAUGAUUUAUGGGCAGCUGGAAUUUGCAUGCAUUGCUCCGAAUCUGUGGAAGAAUCUAUGUGGUUGUUCAUGGCCUUCAGAAACAUGGAUGCUGCAAAGCAGAGCUAUGGAGAAUAUGGAAAGCAGGCUCAAAAAGCAUCUGCAAAUCUGUGCCAAUAUUAUUGCCUCUGUCAUCAAGCAAUGGAAAGGUUUUUCUAGUUAAAUUCAAGUAAUUAAAUCUCCCUGCUCUCAUUAAAAAAAAUACAACUGUCUGCUGCUGGUCUGAAGAAUUGCACAGAGUGAACGUAAAUUUUAAUUUCAUGGUGCAAGUGUUAAAUUAUUGCCAUCUAAGCUGUCUGCCAGUGUUACAUGAAAUCCCACCACAUUUUAAUAAUUCUCCCUUUGUUUUGGAUGGAAAUACCACGUGUUGUGAUUUGGAAGUUUUUAUGUGCAAUUAGAGCCCUGAGAACUACAACAUAAUCACAUUCAAUUCACCUAAUUGGACAGCGAGGAAACUGUCAUUUCUGAAAUGGUUUGUGUCUUUUGGAAUGUCUGUGUGUAUACACAUGCGUAUAAAAUGAAACAUUUUCUCACCCAUCCUGUGUUAAAAUGUAAUAGAAACUCCUGCUAACUGAAGUUGAAGAUAUAGCUGGGUGUUCUUUAGUAACCUCAAAACAUAUACGUGUGCGUGUAAAUAAAAAACUGUCCUUCUAAACACAAGGAUCCUUCCCUCCUACUUACUUUGCAACAUCUUAGUAAGGAUUUGCCAUCAAUUCCCUCUCUUUACAGUGCAUUUGAUGACAUUUUACAGAUCAUCAUACUAAAUAAGUAAGAACCAUCCUCUGAUUUAGAAGAAAAACCUUUAUUUAUUUCAAUUUAUUUUGGGAGUUCAGAAGUAAUGACAAACUUGACAAUCUUCAUGACAAACAUGACAAUCUUCACAUCACUUUAAGCUGUGUGACCAAAAAGCCAUUAGCUUCACAGAAACAGACAAUACAUUUCAUCCUGAAACAACACUUAUGAUCAACAUUUAUGCAAUCUAUAGGUACUUCCUAUAUUUGUAUCAAUGCAAGUAAGAAGACAUGGAGUAUCAAACCAGCAAGGGCUUAGAAAUAUCAAGCCCAAGAGUUUACCCAUUUACUUCAGUGGAAAAUAGUGCUAGUAAAUAUCAAUACAUAUUUUAAUCUUUUAUUUCAGUAAUUUCCAUGUAAAAGCAAACAUAUUCUGCCAACUUUAUUCAUUGUCUUUGAUCUUUUUUUGAAGCAUAUUAUGAUAGAUUUCUGAAUCUUUUAAUUCAAUGUUGAAGUAGAUAUUAAGUAUAUCACAACACCAAUCCACACUAAAUAGAACUUUUGUUUUUUGUUCUUUUGCUGAAAUGUCUGACAGUAUUUCAAGAAUAAUUUAAUUAUGAACUUUAUAUUAACAAAAGACAAGUGAUUUUUUAUUCCAUUCAGUGUGGAAUAAGAUACUACCUAUAUUUGUUAAGCCCUGUGUAUCAACCAGAAUUUGCAAAGGGAAGUUAUCAACUUCAGAUACUCAUUCUCCAUUUCCCAUAAAUAUGUUAAAAAUACAAAGUCAGCUCCUAAGUUUUUCAUCAAAUAAACUAGCUUAUUAAGAUUAAGUGGCCUGAAACCACCAUCUGUGAGUUCACAUUUAUAUCUAGAAAACCUGUAUAAUCAUGUGUAUUGAGAGUAAGGCUUAGUGUUGGAAGGCCCAACCUUGUAAACAAGCUUUGUUUACACAAGAAGACAAUAGGACUCUUCUUUUGUUUCAGAGUUUACAUGUUCAGAGGCUGAGAUCACUAUUUUUGAAAUGUGAUGAUGGGAAUACAAAGUAAUUACCUUUAUGAAGGUUUUACAAAGAAUCCUGUAAGUAAAGCCCAUGACAGAAAUAUAUAGUGUCUCCAAAGAAACAAUUAUGAUGUAUUGUGUUUGAAUAAUAACUCAGAAUGUUUUAUCAUCAUCUGUUUACAUAAUAAGUCAUAAUAACUUUUCAAAAUAUGGUGCUUGCAUUUUUAUUAUUGUUUUAAGUGUACAUAGGGGAAUUACUACAGCCUAGAAUCAUAAACUUUGUAAAACUUUGUUGAAGACUGCAUUUUUAUUCCCAUCCUCUUCUGCUCAAACAAAAAUGUAAAGGAAACAACACACAAAUAAAAGUACGCUAAAAUAAUCCCAUGUGUCUGGCUAAAAGAAAAGACAGGAAAUUCUUAAAAGUGUGGUUAUAAACUGAAAAAUGCCUUUAAACAUGGCUUCCUACUGUCUCACAUUUAUAUAUUCAUAAUUAUUUCACUAUCAAUAUUUUCUUUGCUUAUAUGUACACAAAUUACAUUAUUCAACAUGCCAAGACCACAUUCUCAGUCUGAUAUCUGGAAUACAAAGCCCUGUUGUCACUGGCUUCUACUACAGUGUUAAAGAUGGAACUGAGAGAAAUUCCUAGAUUCCCUCUCCUGGAAACUUUAUGAUUUAAGCCUACUUCUGACCUUUAGCAAUAUUUCCUUGGGGAGACUGAGGUCCAAAUUAAACUUUCAGGAAUUACAAGAGAAAUUUCAAUGAACUCUAGAGAUGCCAGAAAGACAAAUGACAAAAGUAGUUAAAGCAAAAGUGCUGAGCACGUCUUAAGUGCUUCAAUUAGAACUCUUGUUCCCCACAGGAUGUUCCAGAAAGGUGUAGAGGUGCUCACAGACCCUCACAAUGGUUUCAGACAUCUAGCCCACAAAGUAGAAUCCAAAGCCAAGAUUAGAGAGCUGUUACCUACAGAGAACAGAUGAUGUUAUGUGAGAGGACUAACAAAGUAGAAACAUUAUGGAGUUAUCUAGAAUCUAACUCAUAAUUUUGAAAGUCAGAUAAUGCCAACCUAUGUAGUUGAGGCACUCUGUCACAGUGGAAGACUGUGGUUAUUUCCAUCCACUCAGUGUCCACAGACCAUCAAGGUAAUUCAAUUUUUGUUUCAAAGGCUCCGUUUUUUUAAAAAAACAUAACCACUGUUGAAGAUGAGAUGUUAAUAAUGGAACAUAGGAUUAUUCUUAGUUCUACUAUUUACUGAAAAAUAGACAUACAAACUGUGUGGGGCAAAGACAAAGGCCAGAAUCCUGCUUGCUCCAUAAAAAUUGUUUCCUUCCUCAUUUAUCUCCUUGAAUCUUAAUGAGUUUUGCAGUUGUAGUGCACAUCUGUACAGCUAUGUAGACUAGCCUGGGACCCAGUGGGUAAGGUGUGCCUCCUCAGAAAUUAGAGUUUAAAAUACCUGAGGUCAAAGCAGAUGUAAAAAGUUGUCUCCUUCUGAAAGGUUUCCAGUUUUAUUGGCAUAUACUACGUUUGUCUGAGUGCACUUUCCAGGUCUGUGCUAUAAGCUAACACUACCAUUUAUCUUCUGGAUUCCCAGACUGUUUAAGUCAGACAGAGGUACAUGCCCGCUUCACCCUGAGCCCUUCUGCGAAUGGUCAGAAACAGAAUACUGUGUGAUCUCAAAAAGAUUCAGAGCAAACAUGGAAGACAGUUAUGUUUAAAUGACACUCUGGUUGGGCAGGCACUGAACGCAGUAACAGUUUCAACAUAGACACCUUAAACCUUCCAGUAUUCUAUUUUAGGUAAGUUGUUUUAUUGUCUCUAACCUGCUGAUUAUUUGUGAGAUGUAAAAAUGUGCAGAUACGUCUCCCUCAUCUGAUGUUGCUUCUUUGCUGCUAAGAAGGAGGUAAAACAUUACUCUUACUUAAAUUCUGCAAUGAAUGAGCACAACAGUUCAUUUCUAAAAAGGUACAUUUUUUUUUCUUUACAUGGAAUGUUUCUGAAUUCUUACUUAUUUUUCCUUAAAGUCUGUCAGAUGUGUAUCAUUCACUUUAAAGUUAUUUCCCACAUAGUUGCAUUCUUAAGGUAAAAAGAUCAAAAGGAUGGAUGGGUUCAGAGCACAAGCUGUAAACUAGUUAUAAUUCAAGAUGACUGACAAUAUUUAAAUCUUGUUCUGACAAACUAUAUAAAUGACUAAAGAACAUGGAUUCUUCAUGUGACUCUUUUAAACAAAUUUCUGCCUAGAUAUAGGUAGAACCAGGCUUAUCCUACAGCAAGAUAGAGGAUCUGGGCUCAGCACAGCAGAGCAGUACAGCCACAACUGUGUCUCACAAACAGAAGCACGUAAACCGGUCUUUUUUUCUCUGGUAAAUACAUACUUACAAUUACCUGAUAGUUUGCCAGCAGUGCUAUUGGUCAGCAAAGAUACCACUUAUAGCCACACCAGUGGACUCUACAUAGAGAGUUGGAACAUACAUAUUUCGUAUAUGAUGGCAGAUUUUUUUAUACAGAACUUCCUUUCACUUAAUUAUUAACUGCUAUAUAACCUGUCAAAGUGUGUAACAGACUGAGUGAACCACUUUCUGGGGCCAGCAUUUACUAGGAUAUUUGCAGAGCAUCAAAAUCAUACGUGGAAAGGAACUAGUUUGUCAUCUUAGGUCAACCAGCUGAUCACUUCAUCUUCCAGGAUCUUUCAAAAUGGUGCAUUUUAUUUUCUUGUGGGAAAAGAAAACUUUAACAAGAAAUUGAAUCCAUUACCCGUUUAGUGCUGUCAUACUGUUCUAUUGAGUUUUAUAGGCUGGUUCAAAAGUUUACAUAACUCUUAUUUGGUAUUAAAAUUUAUAGUGUUUUUUGAAUAAUUUCUGAAAUCCUUUUGGCUUCAUGCUUCUUCCAGUGUAUAAAUUUUUCCCUUUCCAGUGUCGUCCUCUUUCAGCAUAUAGAUCUUUCCUGGCAACAUUGAAGCAAAACAGUAUCAGACUUUAAAGUCAGAAUCUUUCCCCAUUUAAGUGCAUCCAAAUAAUCAUUUCCUCUCCAUUCUUGGUGUUUACAUGCAUCAAAUACUUGAAGAUAGUUAUGCUUCUUAUGAGCCACUUAGUUAAUCUCCAAUGUACAUACACAUAUUUUACUCCUUUAAUCUUUCUUCAUAAAUAAGUUUCUCUGUCCCCCUUAAUCAUACUUGCUAGUCCUCUCUAUAUUCUCUCCAAAACCUUUUAUUUCUGCUUUCAUUUUGGCUGUCGGAACCAUUGCUUUAAAAUUUCUUCAUUCUAAGUUUACUUAAGUGCCAAAAAAAAAAAAAAUUGCUAGAAAUAAAAAUAGUAAUAAGUUUCAGCAUAAAGCAAACAUAUUCCAGUUAAGGUAAUGUAUAUUAUAAGCACUCCUUUCCUUUUGCAAUUAAUAUUGGAUUUUCAUAGUGUAACAAAACAUCUUUAUUGCACUAGAAUACAGGAUGGGAUAUACUUUAUCUGUCUUUCAGAUUCUACUGUCCUUUCUAAACAUUUCUCACUGCCUGAAGCUUAAUUGAUCUGUUUUAGAUUACUAAAUCAGGGUGGAAUGAUGAAUCACAGCGUUGACUUUGCCAGAUAUGAAGAGAGUUUAAGACAUUCAGAACCUGAGCUCAUGUGAACCGACAUUAUCAGAAGUUUAUAAAUACAGACUUCUGCAUCUGGACAGAUGAUUUGUGAUAUCUUCCAUACUGCAUGAAAGCACAGGAUAACCAAAGCAGGCUUGUUAUUCCAUAGCAUACAAUAGUUCUUCAAAACCAGGAUUGUUAAGGUGGUGUAUUUAUCUGGAGACCUCCAGGAUUUUCAGACUAAGAUGCAGCUUUGUGUCUAACUGCAGCCUAGACAAUACAUAGAUGGGAAAAUUCUCAGUAAUUAAAUAUCAAGACCCCCAAGGCAUUACAUCAUUCUAUCAAGGAACUGAGUAUUCAAGAAGUUAGCAUCAGAGUCAACAUUUACACAAGACACAUGCACAUUAUGUAAUUAGAAGAUUAAGGUAAAAGUAAGACACUGCCUUUGGGAAAAUCUGUUUCUUAAUUGGCAGAAAGAUGAUUAAACUUGCCACAUCAGAUACUUUUGUUAAAUUGAAGAUCUUAAGAAAACAAACUCUUAUUUAUAAUUCUCAUCCCCUUAACUCCUGAAGAAGAGCUGGAAAACCACUGAAUUUCUUGUCAAAAGAAUCAUGAUUAAAAACCAACCAAAAAAAAAAAAAAAAAAAACCCACCUUGCUGUGUUUAUUCAGUCCCUCCAAUAAUCUUAAGGCAGGUUUUCCUUGAGAUAUCAUAUUGUUCCUCAGGGAAACGUUUACUUCCUAGAAGCUUCUUCAAACAUAUUUUUUUCCUAACCAAGAAACACAAGAAUUAUAAUUGGAAGUGAUCUGCAAACCAUUUACAGAUGUGUGGCAAUGAGCUAAUCUCCUUUACCCACAGUUAGUAGAGCUUCUUCAUACCAGCAUUAGUGGUUCAGAAGAUCUGCUUCUCCACAAAGCUGUGCUCUUAGAAACACAGGGAGACUGGAGAAGUUGUUGAACCACCACAAGACUUGAGAAGCUAUGGAAUCACCUCUGUUGAGCUGGGAAUCAACACAAUGCUUUCUCAGAACAGCUUUUGAAACACCACUGUAAGCUACUGAAAGAUGCGUGAAUGUUUCCUGUGAACAGCAGGGAGUAUGCCCAGCAAAGGAUGGUGGGACUUACUUUGCUGGUAAAAUAUUUUCAUACAUGAAAGACAAAGCUUUUCCUCCUCAGCCAUGUAAGACUAUGACUUCCAGAAGUGAUAAAAUGAUCGGUAGUGCAACAUAGCUCACUGUGUACCUGGCAUUUGGUUAUCUGUAUUGUACUUUCUAUAUUAUUUCAGUGAACUGAAAAAUUAGUCCAUUAUUCUGAUGGCAGAGACAACCAGCUGUCUUCUUGAUAAGAUGUUGCCUGUUUUUCUCUCUUUUCCUUUUUAACCUGUUAAGCUGUUUAUGUAAUAAGUGAUAGCAAGUCAGACGGUUCAACUAAAGUAAAACACUGCUAAUGGAAUAUAGUGUGUUCAUUGUUUUAAAAAGUCUUCCAUAGAUAAUAAGUGUUUGUAAAAAAGAAACAUUUUGAAGUAUUAGUUUAUGCUUGCUUUCCAUUUCUAUUUUAAGCCUACAUAGAAUAAAAAAAAAGAUGGAGAGACAAGAAAGUAAAAAUGAUAGCACUCAGAUAGUCACAACACACUGAAAGAUUUUGUUUGACAAAAGCAUUGCAGUUCCUAUAAAAACAAAGCUUAGCAGAUUAAAAAUAAUAAUAAUAAUAAUUAGCCUGCUAAAAAAAUUCUCUUUUAUCAUUUUCCAUCAGAAAAUCAAAAAUAACUACAAUUGUUUUAUUUAAUCUGUUCCUGUAAAAUAGAUUUGCAGUAUUCUUUCUCCCGUAUUUUCAGAACUGAACAAUUUUUUACCAUAUGUGCUGUUUUAGUGCAAGUCUCCACUUUCAAAUAUUUUUAUUUUAUGAUGUCUCUUCUGCUUUCUUUCAUUUGCAGGUUUGUUCUUCAUUCUUGCAUCACAGCAGGAGUUGUACCCUUUAUCAGUGUUGAUGUCUUCUUAAAAGAGGGUCUGUGACCGCAUUUGAAGUAUCUCUACUACCAGUUGUGGUGAUUUCACCCUGAUGUGCAGCUAAACUACUACAUCAUUCUCCUGUUACUCCUACUCAAAGGAAGAGGGGGAGAAAAUGAAAUGAAAAAAGGCUCAGGGUUUGAGAUUACCGUCACUGAUCAGUGAUUAUGAGAAUAAAUAAACAUAGUGUGGAAAAAUCUUUGUAUAGUCAUUAAAAUACCCAAGUGUGGCAUUCUAGUAGAGAUUUAAUAAGGAGAAGAAACUGACCCUCAGACUUAGGAAUUCAUUUUCUUUACUUUUCUACAAGGACAGACAUACAUCUCUCUAUCUAAUUUAUAUAUACAUACGUAUAUAUAAAGCAAAGCUUUUAAAGAAUUUUUAUUUAUCAUUGUAAAAUCUCUACUUAGAAUUGGAAAGAGAUAGAAAAAAAAAAAGUAGACUUUGAUUAUCACCUUGAUACAUCUAAGUGUUUACAGUGGGAGCUAAGCUGUAGCAUAGCAAUGUAAUAAAAAUAGAAAGUAAAGUGACGUAAAAAGUGCACUGAGGACUACCUUAUAACUAAUUCCAAACGUUCAAGAAUAGUAAAUGGUUAACAGUGAUGCAAAAGGAAAUUACAGAAAAAACAAUCAAAAAGGACUCCUAAACAAUGAAAGGAAACAAAAAAUUAAUAAAGCAGAAGACUGAAAAACAGAUAAGGAGAGCAAAACGGUGAAAGAUUUCACAGAAGAUUAUGAAAUUAGCACAAAAAAUUUUUAAACAAUCCUAAGAAUAAACUGUCAUUGAAGAACAGAAUAGGGAUUGUGGAGGAUCAUUUUUUAAGGGAUGAGGUAAAAAAAGAUGGAAAAUUUAAACAAAUUCUUCGCAUAGCUGUUCAGAAAGAAAUGUCAGCUCGCAGAGCUGUAGAAAUAUAGGUACAUAUUUUCUGGAGCAAAAGGAAGGAUAAAACACCUAAGUAAACACACACUGUAUGUGACAUAGUACAGAUGACAAUCUUAGCAUGUAUCACAUAAAAUAAUUUCUCAGUGCUAAAGCAUAUGCACUUCAGAAUUCACAGAAAGGGACAAAAAACAGCAUCACUCUUCACAAGACUAAUUUACAUCACUUCACCAUUCAGAUAACUUUUCCUUUUCAAAAUGUUGCUUUGAAGUCACAUGGGCUACUUACAUGACUGACAACUCUAGGACUGCAGUGAAAAAGAAGUUUCAGUGGAAUUAAAGAAAAAGUAACGGGAAGUGUGCAGGAGGUAUCUGUGCAAAGAAGGGCCCCAUGCAACUCCUCUCACAGCUUGCCUCUAAAAACUCAAGAACUGGGUUUAAAUGAGAGAAACACCUUGUCUUUCUGGCAAGUUUUAGCAAUGCCUUCUAUGCAGGAAAGCAAUUUGCUUCAAGACCAAACAGAAAUGCACACUGGUUAAGAGUGAUAUAUUACAAAAACAACAGAGUAUAGCUAAAUUCAGCAAAUUAUGAAGCAAUGGCUAUUUCAGUGAGAGUCAGAGAUUCGUCUAAUGAGAUCCAGGAGUUUCAGCUCUGAACAAAAAGUGAUGAAUUCAAGCUUAAAUUCCUACAAGUAACCCCUAUUCUACAUUAAAGGUAACCAUCCAUCACAUUUUUAACUACAUCUACAAGGGAGUUCAGUAACUUCAGUCUAAAAAAUUCAAAACACAGACAUAUUUUCAGCCAAAACAAAGCCAGAGCCAGCAGUAAUUUUAAUUCUUUUCACUAAGUAUUGUUCUGGCCAUAAGACUAUGUGUAAAAUGGAUGUGGUUGAAGCCACAAUGGACUGUAAGGUUUAUAGGAUGAACAAGUUGCUAAGGAAGAGCUUGCAUGCCUAAAAACUUACAUUAUUCCAGCUGGAGUGCAUCCUGUAACAACAGUACUUCUUUAUUCUUCCAUAUCUUCCCUAAAAAGCUGAGCGCUCUGGCUGAAGACAGGCCAGGAGAGGCGCAUGGAUGUUUGCCUUCUUCAUGUUGCCUGAAAACCUAGUCCUUGUCUCAUCUGGGAACAGGACAGUCAUGCCAAGUGGAUGCAUCUCCCUGCAUCUGUGGAGAGACAGCAAAUGUGCUGUCUGGAAAGUAUCUGUGUUCUAGGAGGUGAGAAACUGGCUUGGGCUGUUUGAUUUCACUUCUACUCAGAGAAAUGGGGCAAUGAACUUUCUAAUAAACAGGUUUGGUUCACAGAGGGAUGACUCCACCAUCGAUCAUUCCACCAGAGGAAUAACUCAAGAUUCGAAAAUUUUAACCAGAUAAUUUUAUCAAAAGAAUAAUAAAAAAAAAAAAAAAAAAAAAAAAAAAAAAAAGGACCAAGUAAUGACUUAAAACAAUUGCUGUGAUAUUACAUCUACAUAGGAUCUACUGGCCUAUAUGUCAGUUUUAAUCUGCCACUGGUUAAAUCCUACAUACUGAGCAAAAUAACUUACCAACACAAUACAUGCAAAGUAAAUAAAUACUCAAGCAACACUCUAUGUCCCACAUCCACUCAGAUACCAGAAGUGUGUAUUUCCAGUCUGUGAAAUACAAUGAUAAGUAAAAACAGUGAUUCUCCAUGAGUGCAUUACUCAGAAGAAGCAAUGUUAAGGCAGUCAGUGUGAUCUUUAAAAAUCACUCCCAGUAAAUAAAUAAAUAAGCACCUCUACCUGCACAGCUAUCUGAAGACAAGUUAACAAAUUCUGUUUUCCACUUAUUAGCAAAUCAGUUGUUCUGUAAAGAAUACAUGAUCAAAACCUACAGCAACAGCUGGCACAUGUAUAAAGCGGGGCAAAAAAAUUAAGAUGAAGUAUUUCUGACAAAAAAAUAUAUGAAACAAAACAAAGUUGAAAACUGAAGCAGAUAUCAGAUAACCAUUUUGUCAUUUAUAAAAUACUUUUUCAGGACAAAAGGGGUUGCCAUACCUUUUCACUCAGCAUAUCCUCAGAGUCACAUAUUAAGCUGAUCAAAUCCGAGGGUACUGCAGUAAGCUGAAGCUUGAAGCUGCCUCCACUUCCUUCAUUUCGUUUACAGUUUUGUUUGGGGGUUGUUCUUUUUUUUCUUUUUAGCUUGCAGAAACCUGAGGGAAAAAAAUAUUUUGGGGGUUACUAUCGAAAUAGUUUAUUCAGUAGUCAAUUAACUGAAAAAAACAAAUAGUUCUAAACUGAUCUCUUAUAUACCAUGCCCCUUUUUAUAUCAUAGUUAUUGGUUCCAUUCUGUUGUUAUAUUUUACUGAAAACAUUAUGAAUAUAAAUGAGAAUAGUGCACAAAGAGCAGAGGUGAAGAUAUGUCCCAUUAGAAAUCUGCUUUUUUACUUACAUUUACUGAGGUUAUCAAGUACCUCUUUAUGAACUCUUCAUCCCUUUCUAAAAGGUAAAGUUGAAAUUGGGAAAUAUAUUGCAUCAGUUAUUGGGCAUUCUGGGGUUUUCCAUUAUUUUAAAAACCUCCUAUGUGCCUAAUUAUAGCUAAUAAGUACUGUUUAGAAACAUAGCAGAGAACUCAUGAUUUCCUUCUUCACCCAAUGCCCAGAAAAUCCAUGUCCGAGAACAAAAUCUUGAAGGUAUUUGUGAUCAUGACCCAUUCUCAUUAUCUGUAUCCAUUCUAAGAUUUUUAUAUUAUAUGAAUGAAUAUUUUAAAGUGAAAUUAUAGUAUUCAAUGGCAAAUUACAACUACAUGUGACCAAGAGAGGAUUAAACCCAUCAUUUUGCUUAAGAGCUCUGAUGGCUGGAGUAAUUGGAUGAUAGCUGUAGGGCAUCUUUUUGGUCUGUAAUUAGGUCAUUUCUUUCUCAUCCCUUCACUGUGUGUAUAAUUACGAAUUAAUUUGAAAUCCCACUGUGAGUAAAGAAAGUCAGUUUAAUAUAACGGAAGUGCAAAAGCCACAAUAUAUUACUUUUUAAAAACUGCUUAUUUCAAAAUACUCAGUCUGGCCAAAAGUUAUAUCCCUAUGUACUGCAAGGCUUAUAUUUGGUUUCUUUGCUAACUUUGUACAAGUGCUGCUCUGAAAGUAAUGCCUCCUGUUUUAUUAUGUUGGUGUGCAAUGUCAGAGGUGGAUUUUGGUGGUACAUCAGGAGAGGUUGAACCUUCACACCAGUAUUCCACUACAUUUUGUUGCUGUGUGACAGAUGGCAGCAGAGGGUCAGUCUGACAAAAUGGCUUCUGACACGGAAGCAUCUGAGAAGAAAAGAUGUGGAACUGAAUUCCUCCAUGUGGUAAAAAAAUUGCAUCCAUUGACUUUCACUGAUGCUUGCUGAACAUUUAUGGAGAUCAAACAGUGGAUGUGAGCUCAGUGAGGUUGUGGGUAAUGUGUUUCAACAGCAGUGAUAGUGGCAGUGGUUCACCUCCACCGGUGCAAAUUUUUACAAGAACAGCAAGCAGGUUCUCGUUCAUCGUUGGCAAAAAUGCAUAGCUAAUGACAGUGAAUAUGCAGCAAAAUAAAGUUUGUAUUUGAGAAUUUUCUCUAUGAAAUAGUGUUAUUGUGCUCUUUGUAUUUGUUGCAGUUUCUAUGGAAAUAAACAGCAAGUAUUACUUUUGAAUCAAUCUACGUUCCUGGAUGUAUUUUCUCUCUUAAAAUAAAUGAAUUUUCAAAGCA